rnacentral:rRNA from 1 species
CCUACGGGUGGCAGCAGUGGGGAAUAUUGCACAAUGGGGGAAACCCUGAUGCAGCGACGCCGCGUGAGCGAUGAAGGAUUUCGGUAUGUAAAGCUCUAUCAGCAGGGAAGAAAAUGACGGUACCUGACCAAGAAGCCCCGGCUAACUACGUACCAGCAGCCGCGGUAAUACGUAGGGGGCAAGCGUUUACCGGAUUUAUUGGGUUAAAGGGGUGCGUAGGCGGUCCGUUAAGUCAGCGGUAAACUUGCGGGGCUCAACCCCGUCGAGCCGUUGAAACUGGCAGCCUUGAGUUGGCGAGAGGUACGCGGAAUGCGCGGUGUAGCGGUGAAAUGCAUAGAUAUCGCGCAGAACUCCGAUUGCGAAGGCAGCGGUCCGGCGCCAGACUGACGCUGAGGCACGAAAGCGUGGGGAUCGAACAGGAUUAGAUACCCCGGUAGUC